rnacentral:rRNA from 1 species
UACGUAGGGGGCAAGCGUUGUCCGGAAUCAUUGGGCGUAAAGAGCGCGUAGGCGGCCCGGUAAGUCCGCUGUAAAAGUCCAGGGCUCAACCCUGGAAAGCCGGUGGAUACUGUCGGGCUCGAGUCCGGAAGAGGCGAGUGGAAUUCCUGGUGUAGCGGUGGAAUGCGCAGAUAUCAGGAGGAACACCGAUAGCGAAGGCAGCUCGCUGGGACGGUACUGACGCUGAGGCGCGAAAGCGUGGGGAGCGAACAGG